GGGUGCGAUCAUACCAGCACUAAUGUACCAAAUCCCAUCAGAACUCCACAACUAAGCGUAUUUGGGUAAGAGUAGUACUAAUAUUGGUGAACUCCUAGGAAGUCCUUGUGUUUCAUCCC
rnacentral:rRNA from 1 species